GAUGCCCGCUGGCGGCGUGCCUAAUACAUGCAAGUAGAGCGAACAGACGAGGAACUUGCUCCUUUGACGUUAGCGGCGGACGGGUGAGUAACACGUAGGUAACCUAACUAUAAGACUGGGAUAACUUCGUGAAACCGAAACUAAUACCGGAUAAUAUUUCCAAAAGCAUGUUUCGAUGGUAAAAGAUGGCUUAGCUGACACUUAUAGAUGGACCUGCACCGUAUUAGCUAGUUGGUAAGGUAACGGCUUACCAAGGCAACGAUACGUAGCCGACCUGAGAGGGUGAGCGACCGCACUGUAGCGGAGGCACGUUGCAGAGUCCUACGGGAUGAAGCAGUAGGAAAACUGCCGCACUGGGCGAAAGCCUGCCGGAGCAACGCCGCGUGAGUGAUGAAGGGCUUCGGAUCGUAAUACUCUGUUAUUAGAGAAGAACAAACGUGUAAGUAACUGUGCACGUCUUGACGGUGCCUAAUCAGAAAGCCACGGCUGACUACGUG
rnacentral:rRNA from 1 species